rnacentral:rRNA from 1 species
CCUACGGGCGGCAGCAGUGGGGAAUCUUGGACAAUGGGGGCAACCCUGAUCCAGCCAUGCCGCGUGUGUGAAGAAGGCCCUCGGGUUGUAAAGCACUUUCAGUGAGGAAGAACGCCUGGUGGUUAAUACCCAUCAGGAAAGACAUCACUCACAGAAGAAGCACCGGCUAACUCCGUGCCAGCAGCCGCGGUAAUACGGAGGGUGCGAGCGUUAAUCGGAAUUACUGGGCGUAAAGCGCGCGUAGGUGGCUUGAUAAGCCGGUUGUGAAAGCCCCGGGCUCAACCUGGGAACGGCAUCCGGAACUGUCAAGCUAGAGUGCAGGAGAGGAAGGUAGAAUUCCCGGUGUAGCGGUGAAAUGCGUAGAGAUCGGGAGGAAUACCAGUGGCGAAGGCGGCCUUCUGGACUGACACUGACGCUGAGGUGCGAAAGCGUGGGUAGCAAACAGGAUUAGAUACCCGGGUAGUC